ACAGUGUGGUAAACAUGAUGGACGAGAAAUGUAUGUGUGUGUGUUUGAGUAAUCUGAAUGUGUUUUGCGUGAACCACAAGGAUUUCGAAGAAGGCUCGUCUUCUGGGUUGUUGCGCCGUGUAGUCCGUAGAAAUUCAUCGACGUUUGAAAGGUCUUUGCUGCCUCCAUCAUCAGGGUUACCCUGGUUACUACGUUACUGCUUACACCAGAAUAUAUGCAGAAUUUUAUAAACUGUUUCUUCAGAAUGAUACAUCUGUUAAGUCUCAGGCGGUUUGCAAGGUUUAGUUGUAACAGAACAGCUGAAGAAGGUGACUGAGGGAAUCAGAUUCCUGGACAAGGAAUUGCAGAGACAGGUUAUGGCUAAUCAUGAAGAUCUUCUUUAACAAGCAACAUGUAUUGAAAAACUGGGUGGGGUGCUUAUGUAGAGACAUAUCAAGGUAGGUUACUUCUAAGUCUGCUAGUAACACAGAAUCCUGCUUCACAUCUGUCAAAGUUCUCAUGUCUUCUUGUGCCUUGCAGAUAAUACAUAGUAUAUUGUAUUAACUUUUUGCAGCCUUUGAACCUUUGUAUGAAAAUUAUCAUACAAUAAGAUUCACGUGUGUCUGUGUGUGUAGUAAACUGUAACGCAUGUUGUAUGUAGAAUGUAUUUUAAGUUGCAAGGGUGCAUGUUAUUUUCCACUUUCCUGUAAAAAUUAGCCCAAAAUAACAGUUGUUUUUGGUGGUUGUGGUGGUUGAUUAUAUUGCGAACAUGACUGUUUAUUUUUGAUUAAUAAUGAUUUAAUGAUCGAAGAGUCUGUUUCUUUAGUGGCAGAGGUAGUUUUGUUUUGUAUCAGAUAUUACAUUUGAUGAUCUGAGUACAGGUAUACCUUGGAGAUAUUGUGGGUUCAGUUCCAGACCAAUGCAAUAAAGCGAGUCACUCAAAUUUUUUGGUUUCCCAGUGCAUAUGAAAGUUAUGUUUACACUAUAAUGUAGUCUAUUAAGUAUGCAAUAGCUUUAUGUCUAAAAAAUGUGAGAAUUACCAAAAUGUGACACAGAGACACGAAGUGAGCACAUGCUGUUGGAAAAAUGGCGCCAAUAGACUUGCUUGACGCAGGGAUGCCACAAACCUUCAAUUUGUAAAAAAACGCAAUAUCUGCGAAGUGCAAUAAAACGAGGUAUGCCUGUACUGCUAUUCUACAGGAUGGGUGGGAAGUAAGUAGUCAUUGAUAAAUGGUUAUAACCUCUAUAUUUCCAAUGCAAAGCAAUUAUUUAAUGCUUACUUACUUCCCACCCACUCUUUAUAUUGUAUUCUGUCAUUCUUUGAGUUAUUGUGCAGAUUGUUGGCAUUCUCAAAUUGUCAUCAUUUUAACAUGGUAAUUUUAUUCUGGUUUGGGGAAUUAUUAUUGUAUGGUUUACUCCACCAUUUUCUUGCACCUCUUGCUGUAGGAAUAUGUACAUUAUAUAAAUGGGUAUUUAUUUUUCUUUGUGUAUAAUAAUUACUGUAUUUGGCUGCUAUAUUUAAUACUGUACAUGUAUAAGUUUAGUUAAUCCAUUUGUGUAAUAUUUUUCAUUAUUAUUGUAUGUAUUAU